rnacentral:rRNA from 2 species
GCGUUGGCCCAAUUGAUUGAUGGUGCUUGCACCUGAUUGAUUUUGGUCGCCAACGAGUGGCGGACGGGUGAGUAACACGUAGGUAACCUGCCCAGAAGCGGGGGACAACAUUUGGAAACAGAUGCUAAUACCGCAUAACAACGUUGUUCGCAUGAACAACGCUUAAAAGAUGGCUUCUCGCUAUCACUUCUGGAUGGACCUGCGGUGCAUUAGCUUGUUGGUGGGGUAACGGCCUACCAAGGCGAUGAUGCAUAGCCGAGUUGAGAGACUGAUCGGCCACAAUGGGACUGAGACACGGCCCAUACUCCUACGGGAGGCAGCAGUAGGGAAUCUUCCACAAUGGGCGCAAGCCUGAUGGAGCAACACCGCGUGAGUGAAAAAGGGUUUCGGCUCGUAAAGCUCUGUUGUUAAAAAAGAACACGUAUGACAGUAACUGUUCAUACGUU